GAUGAACGCUGGCGGCGUGCCCAAUACAUGCAAGUCGAGCGAACGGACGAGAAGCUUGCUUCUCUGAUGUUAGCGGCGGACGGGUGAGUAACACGUGGAUAACCUACCUAUAAGACUGGGAUAACUUCGGGAAACCGGAGCUAAUACCGGAUGAUAUUUUGAACCGCAUGGUUCAAAAGUGAAAGACGGUCUUGCUGUCACUUAUAGAUGGAUCCGCGCUGCAUUAGCUAGUUGGUAAGGUAACGGCUUACCAAGGCAACGAUGCAUAGCCGACCUGAGAGGGUGAUCGGCCACACUGGAACUGAGACACGGUCCAGACUCCUACGGGAGGCAGCAGUAGGGAAUCUUCCGCAAUGGGCGAAAGCCUGACGGAGCAACGCCGCGUGAGUGACGAAGGUCUUCGGAUCGUAAAACUCUGUUAUUAGGGAAGAACAUAUGUGUAAGUAACUGUGCACAUCUUGACGGUACCUAAUCAGAAAGCCGCGGCUAACUACGUG
rnacentral:rRNA from 1 species